AAUACAUAUUGAAUUUCUCCGAACCGAUACAAUUUUGGAGCGAGAGUGAAAAUGUUUCGUUUUUUUACUAGUCUAUUUUUUACCGGGUUCGUUACAGCUUUUUAUGCUUCUAUGAGGUAGAAUGUACUCCAUGCAGCAAUAAUUGCAAACGAUUGUUCAACCGGUAAACUUUUCUCUAUCAAUUGCUUCCUAUUUAUAAUAGUUGUAGCUUUAAACGUAUGAGUCGAACUUUAAGUGCUAGAAAAAUAAAAGAGCUGGAGGAAAAGCCUGCCUAUGUAAAAAAGUAAAACGAACAUCAGAACGGUCGAGUACUACUCUGGAGAAACAUAAAAAAUGCAGCUACCAAACCAACGGCCCUUUCAUCACACGUCGAAAAUGUAUUGCAUUACAAACGGACACACAAACUUGUAGGCAGAAUUGUGGAAAUCAAAGCGGACUGAAUGAACGAGCGCAGUAAGAACAUGCCACGAUGCCUUCGAUGCGACCGAAAGUGCUGAUGCGCAAGGCUACACAAUCACAUCAUACCGACGAGGAAAACGCGAACCUGUAAGCCUCAUGAGGUCGAGCUAGAUGGUUAAAGUGCAAGUGAAAUCAUAGCAAACGGGAAAAGCCACAGAAGGAAAUAGAAGAAGUUACUCUCUUCGACUGGAAAGUAAAACGUGUAGUGGAAAAUCUUGUUCCGUUUUGGUUUUGCUUUUACCUUACCAACGUUAUUCAGCUAGGGUGGCCUUCGAACCGUAGAAAAGACAAGUGCACUCGAGUACUGCAUUGAUUUGUGCGUCAAAUUCAUGCUCUCAACCUAGCUCUGUUGCUCAGGUUGUAAAAUGAUACUCCGUAGCCGAUUCGUUAUCAGCGUAACAUGAGAAAAAAUCGCAAUGCUGGCAGUAGUUCGCCCCAUGCCUAAACGAAGGUUUUAGUUUAAGAAAACACUUUCAACACCUUUUACGUUUCUUCUGCCUUGACGCUAGACUGUUUGCACUUUUCUAUCACCAACCCAGGUGGAAUGAUUGUUCGUGAGACGUGCACGAUUCCUGAUAAUCUUGCAAAUGAAAAAAAAUGAACUGACGUCCAUUGUCAGUAUGCCAUCGUCUGAUUACGCAGUUAGUUUUUGCAAAGGAGAUUAAAACAACUUUCUUUUAAAAUAUUUUUUUAUCAUGGGAACUGCAAGCCAACAUGUUCUGAGAUUAAUUAAAAAACUCACACCAGGUUUUUUCAACCUGGCAUGAAUAAAUUCUAGAAAUGAUUCAUUGUGUCAGAAUGAACAAAUUGUAGAAAAAGAAAGUAAGUUUGAAUCGACACAAAAGCUGCAUUUCAGAUGCCCAUAUAGAUUUGAUAGCAUAACGGGAGUGUUGUAAAGCUUGUCAUACUACGUCAUCGUCCCAAGCUAUUCAGGAAUGUCUUUCAACUCUAUCCUACACUACAGUAGUGGAUUAAACAUAGAUGGUAGGUCCAGCAUACAUAAAAGUGGCUACAGAAGUCUCAUCGAGGGCCUCCGUGCUCGAUAGGGGUCUCGCGGGCGAGAGAACCCAAGCAUCCCCCCAUCCGUUAGAACCCCUCCCCCUAUCACCAGUUACAAGGAGCCUCCACUUCUUUUCCUCCUGCAAAAACUCAUUAAAUCCAGAACAAGCUUAUCGAGCUACAAAAUGAUUUUUCUGCAAAACCAUUGCGUACAAGACCGACUUGAGACAAUAGAUCAAGCUUAGAAAAAGGGCAUGUUUUGUUUGAAGAAUCAAAAUACUCCUUAAACCCUCUAAUGCUCAAAACAAAAAGUUUAAAAAAAAGUGAUUUAAAUGUUUGUAGAGCACGUUGAUCUCAAAACUUUCAACCACUGUCGCGUUAGACAGAUAGAAGCAAACAAACAAUCAAUGUGUUAGAAUAAACAAAAUUAUCAUCAUUUUUCUAUAAAUUAUGCACUUA